UGUACGUCUGUCUCCGUCGCCUCUUAAAAACCACCGGCAGGCGGUCUUUUCACCCCGCUCUUAUCCCCACACCAGAACCGGGCACCGGCCGAUUAAUGCAUGUGCGUGUACGCCGAGAUCUCGAUGACUUAAAAAAUACUUCUUUGUACCUAUGUGUGUGUGUGUGUGUGUGUGUGUGUGUGUGUAUAUUAUCAUCCGGACGACGAUGAUGAUAAUUUAUAAGAAAUCAAUCCCGGGUAAAGAAUGGACGAUGUGUUUGGACAUGGGUUCUUGAUGUGAGCAAGAGAAGUAGGGAGAAGGGAACUCCCGAUUUUUAUCUAAAACAAAAAAACACCACUAUACGACGGAGAUGAAAAAAAAAACCACAAAUCGUCUGUAUUCAUACAUGACCGCUAACCAUCGUUAUUUAUACAGAAGAAAAAAACAAGAUGGAUGCUGGCAUAGGGCCGAAUCGAUCGAGUAUGAAUGUAUGAUAUUGCGACAUAAGUGAAUUCAUACAUGCCUACCAAAAAAUAUAUGACGAUUGACGAGAAACCUAUUAAUUAAACUGAAAACUACCUGUAUAAUAUAAUAUGUCCACGUAGGACUCCACUAUGGUCAUUGAUCAGUCAUCAGUGUAGCCGGUGAGACUUCUACUAGAGAGUAUUAGGCACAGGUAUCUCUACUCUGAUACAUAAGCUGCUGGUUCAAUGGUGCCAUGUGGGGUAUACAGAUUUGAAAAGAAUUUCUUUACAGCGUCAUCCGUGUUGAUUGUGCUUUAUUUUUGGAUAAACAAAAACUUGUUUGAGUCUUGGAUGUAAGUAUGUUGAAUAAUUGAUGACAUCAGUGAACGACUGUAUGAGAAAACUAAAUAAUAUGUGUACCAACACACUGAUACUUAUAACUUAAGAGAAUUUAUAAUUUACAUGUACCUAUUGAUUGUAUACUUUGUUUUAUGAGUAAAAAUACAUUGGUAAUUUAUUAGCAAAGUACUUUGGUAAACAGAACUUUCUGCAGAAGAUUUUUACUCAAGCAUGUU